GCAGUCUGGAAGAGAGGUCGGGGGCCCGGCUGCCCUAUGCCCACCCAUCAGCCUGCAAGCUGGAGUUGGCCCGGUCUGGACCUGUCGGGGUCGCCCCGCCCGGUGUCCCAAGUCUCCCAUCCUCCUUGGUGAUCCGGCUGCAGAGCCGCGGGGGAAGCGAGCCGCAUGGUCAGCCAUGAACCCUGGCAUUUGCUGCUCUCCAGGUUCCGGGGAAGAGAGCCCUCAGGUCACAAUCCAUGACUGUGAAGGCUUAAAUGUUCUAGAACCUUGGUGGCCGCACUCGCGGGUUACUUUUGUCUCUCGAGGUUGUCACUGAGCGUAGGCCCUAUCCCCAGGUGCUUGGGGCCCUGCAAAUGUGUGGAAACCAAAAGGGCCUAGGACCGGGGUCGGGUUGUGGGGCUCCAAGGCUUGACCUGGGAGGCUUCCAGGAGGAAAUGACUUCGAAGUUGUUUACAGGAUAAAUGGGUUGUUUUCUUUAACUGACAGAGUAUGAAUAGCCAGUGAUCACGUGAAAAAAUGCACAGGUUCACUCUGUGAAAUGUAAAAGCAAAAUUAUACCAUCUUCCAAGCACUGGAAACCCUGGUAGAGUAGUGGUUAAGUGCUAUGGCUGCUAACCAAAAGGUUAGCAGUUCGAAUCCGUGAGGCGCUCCUUGGAAACUCUAUCGGGCAGUUCUACUCUGUCCUAUAGGGUCGCUAUGAGUUGGAAUCAACUCGACGGCAGUGGGUUUGGUUCCAAGCACUAGGGUGACCACGUCUUUGUGGGCCAACGUGUAGGGGACCUUUUCACGGUCUGGCUCAGCUGUCACGGAGAGAGACGGACAGGAAGUGACAUGUCUUGACUCACCUACAGACCCUCUCAGUUGGGCUCCAGGGACCAGUAGAAUCCCAGCACCGGAGCAUGCGACUGAUGGUGAAAGACUGGAAACCAUGGAAGGUCCACUGAAGGGGAGCCGUGAGACAUCUAUGGUCCCUGCAGCCACCACGGAGAUGAGGAAAGACGCAGGUGUCUUUCCAAGAGAAAAAACAUACAUCACACGGACACCUGUCCAUGAGUGUUCACAACAGCCAAGAAGUGGAGACAACCCAGGUUUUCAUCAACACAUGAUGGAUAAACACAAUGUGGUCCAUUCAUACAAUGAAACAUUCAGCCAUAAAGAGGAAUGAAGUCGUGACACACCCUACGACAUGGAUGAACCUUGAGAACAUGAUGUUGAGUGAAGGAACCCAGACACAAAAAGACAAAUGUUAGGAUUCCAUUUUUAUGAAAUAUCCAGAAUUUGCAAAUGCAUAGAGACAUAAACUGCAGGGACUAGGGGAAGGAAGGAUGGGGAGUUAUUUCUUAAUGAGUAGAGUUUCUGUUUGGGGUGUUGAAAAAGUUUUGAAAAUAAACAGUGGUGAAGGUUACACAACAUGGUGAAUAUAACUAGGGCCACUGAAUUGUACACUUACGAUUAAAAUGUUAGGUUUUUUGUUUUGUGUGUUUUACCAUAAUAAUAAAAAAAAUGUCAGCAACAAGAAAUACACAGGAGGAAGCCCGGGUGGUGGCAGGGCCUGUGCGCUCAGAGCUAGCCUGCCUUGUGGCCUUCAUGAGAUGCCUAACUCUCUGGCCGUCUCAUUGUGUACAGUGGGUGGCGCCAUCCUGUGAAGGCUCUGAAAGAGCAGCCGGGGAACCAGGCAGGUGGUCGGCAGGUCUGACCUCAGAGAAGUACAGUGUGAAGGCUCUGCCCUGGUCAGUGCAUCAGCACCUCGAGGGAGACUGGGGGUCCCACAGAUGAAGGCCAGCCUUGGGCAGGGGGGUGCAGGUCCAGGGAUGGCAGGACAGUAAGGACUGGAGAGGUGUGGGAGGUGCCAGAUGGCAUCUUGGUGACUCAGAGUGGCCAGGUGACAAUGUCCCCUCGACCGGCUCUGGUGUCAGGAGAGGUGCUGGCCCUGAGGGCAGGUGCACAGACAGCGCAGCAUCUAGCACAGAGGCAACAUGUCCAACAGUACAGCAUUAUGGGCCUUUUAGUGACCUCUUGGCCCCAGGCCCUUCCCCGCGUAGUGGGGAUAGCAGGCCCAUGGGAGGAAGCUGCCCCAGGGACCUAAAGGCCACAGGACCCGUGGGAAGGUGGGGGUAGGUUAGUUUGGUCAGGGAGGGUGCCUGUCCUUCUCGGGGCCUGUAGGCUCUGAUUGAUGAAAUACUCACCAGAGCCAGGAGCAGCUCACCUGCAUCUUCAGGGAGAUCCCACCCCUGCCCUGGAGUCCCCUGCACCAGGCAAGCCCUCUAAUGGUGAAGGUUGUGUGUCAACUUGGGUGGGCUGUGAUUACUCAGUGGUCUGGCAGCUGUAAAAUGAUGUAGUCACCUUGAUGACAUUUGAUAUAAUGUAAUCUCCUUCAUGAUGGGAUCUGCUGUAAGUUUUCUUGGGGGAUGUGGCAUAUAUCCAAUAUAUGUGGACUUCUGACAAAACUUGCUGGCUCUUGCUUUGCUUUGGAUCUUAUGUUCUGCUCGUGAACAUCAGACCUCUAAUUCUUGAGACUUGAGCCAGCGGCCUGCCACCUUACCUGCUGAUCUUGGGAUUAUUCAGCCUCUGCAACCUGUGAGCCAGAGGCCUGCUGUCUGACCUGCCACUCUUGGCUUUGCCAGUCCCUGCGGCUACAUGAGUCAGAAGCCUCCACCCUGACCCAUGAACUUGGAACUUUUUAGCCUCUACAACCCCUGAGCCAUCUCCUUGAUAUAAAUGUCUCUCUACAUA